GCCCUCAUAGCUCGAAUCGGUAGAGCGAGCGACUCUUAUGGGAUAAUCGGUUACGAUUACACCUUGAUCGCUAGGUUGUGGGUUCGAGCCCCACUGAAGGCU